rnacentral:rRNA from 1 species
CGUUAUCNGGAAUUACUUGGGCGUAAAGCGUUCGUAGGCGGUUUGUUANGUUAGAUGUGAAAGCCCCGGGCUUAACCUGGGAACUGCAUUUAAAACUGGCAAACUCGAGUUUAGGAGAGGGAAGUGGAAUUUCAGGUGUAGCAGUGAAAUGCGUAGAGAUCUGAAGGAACACCAGUGGCGAAGGCGACUUCCUGGACUAAAACUGACGCUGAGGAACGAAAGCGUGGGUAGCAAACGGGAUUAGAUACCCCGGUAGUCCACGCCGUAAACGAUGUCAACUAGCCGUUGGGCCUAUAUACAGGUUUAGUGGCGGAGCUAACGUAUUAAGUUGACCGCCUGGGGAGUACGGCCGCAAGGUUAAAACUCAAAUGAAUUGACGGGGGCCCGCACAAGCGGUGGAGCAUGUGGUUUAAUUCGAUGCAACGCGAAGAACCUUACCUACCCUUGAACAUCCAGAGAAUCUGUUAGAGAUAGUAGAGUGCCUUCGGGAACUCUGAGACAGGUGCUGCAUGGCUGUCGUCAGCUCGUGUCGUGAGAUGUUGGGUUAAGUCCCGUAACGAGCGCAACCCUUAUCCUUAGUUGCUAGCAGGUCAAGCUGAGAACUCUAAGGAGACUGCCGGUGAUAA